rnacentral:tRNA from 1 species
ACGCCCGUAGCUCAGUUGAACAGAGCUCCAGGUUUCGACCCUGGGAGUCGGGGGUUUAAGUCCCUCCGGGCGUG